CCCCCUGUCUCUCUCUCUCUGUCCGUCCCUCUCUCUCUCUCUCUCUCUCUCCAGAGUUAUCAGUCUCUCUCCAGUAUCAGUGUAGCUUCAGACUUACCUAGCAUCGUUGGCCGUCCUCUUCAGUACUUUGGAGAUGUGAGUAAGACUGUGUCUGAACUGAGAGAGAAACUAGAAGACUUCCUUAAAGGAGAAUGGACCAAGAUCUCCACUACAGUGAAUAUAGUGGAUGUUGUACUGCCUCCAGAGCCCAAGACCAGAGAAAAGUUGUUACAAUAUUCCUGUCAGCUCACACUGGACCCAAACACAGCACACACACACCUCUCUCUGUCUGAAGGGAACAGAAAGGUGACCUGUUUUGGCACAGUCGAACCAUAUCCUUACCAUCCAGACAGAUUCACCAACAGGUACCAGGUUCUGUGUAGAGAGGGUCUGUCUGGAUGCUGUUACUGGGAGGUGGAGAGGAGUGGGGACAGGGUUGAUACAGCAGUCUCAUAUAAAGACAUCAGCAGAACAGGGUCAGAUAGUGGAUUUGGAGACAAUAACAAGUCCUGGAGUUUACAGUGCUAUAGUGAUUGUUAUUGUUUCCAGACACAAUAAUGUUGUGACUAAUGUAUCAGGCCCUCAGUCCUCCAGAGUUUGAGUGUACCUGGAUCACAAGGCAGGUACUCUGUCCUUCUACAGUGUCUCUGACACAAUGACCCUCCUCCACAGAGUCCAGACCACAUUCACUCAGCCCCUCAAUCCUGGGUUUAGUCUCUAU